rnacentral:lncRNA from 13 species
AUGAUAUUUUGCUCCAGACUUCCCGUUGCCUCCAGAACCUUCUUCCCAUUCAGGCCCCAGGUUAAUUGCUCCACUUACUGCUUCAUGGAAAGAUUGUUAAAGCAGAAACAGAUAAGUAAAAUCAUGAAACCCUAAGAUUUUACAUUAUAAGAUUGGGCAAAAGCCUUGAAGGACUGAGGGCAUACAUUUCAUGCCAUGUAAUUUUUGAAAGAUGUAUGAUCGGUCACUCUGUUUUUCGCACCUGAGACUAGACCAAGAUUCUGUGGGCUGCAGCACAAGAAGGAUGCAGGGAGAACAUGAGACCUAGAUAUAUGUCCCUGAGAAGACGUUUUGCUUCCUGACCACAUGCCCCCAUUUCAGUCUUGGAGAGAGGACAACAGAAACCACAGCUGGAAAACUGGAACAACUGAAGCAGCCACCUCAGGCCCAGAAAAAAAGCCACGUGCUAAAAGUUGCACAUCUAUCCAGCCAGCAACCAAACACACCAGCUCUAAACCUCUAAACCUCUGCUGCAUGGCAUGGAAUAAAAGCAAAUUUCUCUCCUACUUAAGCCACUUUGUUUUGGAGUCCCUUUCUUAUAGUAGUUUAUCUGAUACCGCAUUCAGAGAUGUGGCUUUGAACUUGAGUAAGAGAGCAAUGUCCUGUGUUUGUGAAAGGUCAAAAGUUUAUCCACAUAACCUUCACCUUGUUCCUGUCUCCCUCCCUCACAUGCUGGGCUCCAGCUGGACUGGCCACUUUCCUGUUUUUGAACUCCUUCACUUCUUUCCCACCUCGGAGUCCUUUGCCAGGAACGCUCUGUCUUGUCACUCUUCCCUUUGUUGACUCAUUACCCUCAGGUCUUAGUUUACAAGUCAUAUUAUCAGAGAUACCUUCUUGGACCGCCCUGUAUAUAUUUAUUUUCUAUGGUACAUAACCAGUAACUGUAAACUUAGCAGCCAAAACACCACAAAUGUAUGACCUCAUGAAUUCUGCAGGUCGGAAGUCUGCCACAUGUUAUCUAGGUCUUCUCAGGAUCUCACAAGGCUGCAGUCAAGGUGUCAGCUGGUUGUAUCCUCAUCUGGAGGCUCAACAGGGCAAGGAUCCACUUCCAAGUUUCCUUGGGCAUCGGUGGAAUCCAUUUCCUUCUGGCUGUGUGAUGAAGGUCCCCAUUUCCUUGCUGGCUUUCAGCUCCUAGAGGCUACUCUUGGGUUUUUGCCAUACAGCUCCCUUCAAAGGCAGCUCACAACAAUAUGGCACCAAUCCAAUAAGACAAACUAUAUAUAAUGUAACCUAAUCAAGUGUGACUAUCCCAUCAUAUUCAUAGGCCCUGCCCACAUUCAAGGGGAAGGGACUCUCAGGGCAGGAAGUGGGUGAAGGGAACGAGCUCUUCGCAGCCAUCUUAGAAUUCAGCCUAGCACCCAGCGGAAACAGGCCUGCCCUCCCUGUUGGUCCUUGUUCCUACUUCCUGUUUCUCAUCACCACACUCAUCAGUUUCAGUUAUACCUUUUUUUGUUUCCUUGUUGUAUGUCUGUCUUUCCCACUAGAUUGUAAGCCUCAUGUUUUUAUAUUCAGGUCCCAGUAUUAAGACUGGGACAAAGUAAACACUUAAUAAAUAACUGCUGAAUGAACA